rnacentral:tRNA from 1 species
UGGUAAAAAGAGGAUUUAAACCUCUGUCAUUGGGGCUACAAGCCACCGCCUAGCUCUAGGCUAUUUUACC